GACAGAGGGUGCAAUCGUUGUCCGGAAUUAUUGGGCGUAAAGAGCUUGUAGGCGGUCUGUCGCGUCUGCUGUGAAAAUCCGGGGCUCAACCCCGGACUUGCAGUGGGUACGGGCAGACUAGAGUGUGGUAGGGGAGACUGGAAUUCCUGGUGUAGCGGUGAAAUGCGCAGAUAUCAGGAGGAACACCGAUGGCGAAGGCAGGUCUCUGGGCCACUACUGACGCUGAGAAGCGAAAGCAUGGGCAGCGAACAGG
rnacentral:rRNA from 1 species